GUCUAGCUUUGCACUUGUAUAUCUGAAUUACCAAUAAAUAAUUUUGUCUAUGUCAGUAUGUCCGUGACCCUAGAGAAAGAAAGGCUACAAAAAAAAUAAUAAACUGUAAAAAGAAAAACAGAUCUCUUACUCGAUCAGGUUAAAUGGAUAAUUUCACAGAGAAGAUGAAGGUCAGACAGAGAAGUACUUUCAGUCAAAUUAUGCU